rnacentral:rRNA from 1 species
UACGUAGGGCGCAAGCGUUGUCCGGAAUUAUUGGGCGUAAAGAGCUCGUAGGCGGCCUGUUGCGUCCGCUGUGAAAUCCCAGGGCUUAACCCUGGGCUUGCAGUGGAUACGGGCAGGCUGGAGGCAGGCAGGGGAGAACGGAAUUCCCGGUGUAGCGGUGAAAUGCGCAGAUAUCGGGAGGAACACCGGUGGCGAAGGCGGUUCUCUGGGCCUGUACUGACGCUGAGGAGCGAAAGCGUGGGGAGCGAACAGG